AAAGAGGUCACAGUGAAGUAUUUGAGGAGAGGUUCAGUGGGCAGUUAUUGGAUGAAAUCAUGUCAUGGCUGUGAACACAGGUUCGAGAAGCAGCAAGGUUUUAUGUCACUCCAGCUCUCAGUAGUUCAGUCUAAGAACCAUACUGAGAGUCUCUAGGAGUUUGUACAAGGUGACAUACUUGAGGGGGACAACAGGCACCUUUGUGGAGAGUUUCAAGAGAAGAGGGACACUUUAAAGAGUACAUGCAUCAAGACUCCUC